CGUUCACAUCACGUUGAAACACUGGUUCCCAUACAAUCACUGAGGUUAAGCAACAUCAAGCCUGGUCAGUACCUAGAUGGGCGACUGCUAGGGAAUAGGACUGUGCUGUA